rnacentral:rRNA from 1 species
UACGUAGGGUGCAAGCGUUAAUCGGAAUUACUGGGCGUAAAGCGUGCGCAGGCGGCUUUGCAAGACAGAUGUGAAAUCCCCGGGCUUAACCUGGGAAUGGCAUUUGGGACUGCAAGGCUCGAGUGCGGCAGAGGAGACUGGAAUUCCUGGUGUAGCAGUGAAAUGCGUAGAUAUCAGGAGGAACACCGGUGGCGAAGGCGGGUCUCUGGGCCGAUACUGACGCUGAGGAGCGAAAGCGUGGGGAGCGAACAGG